rnacentral:misc_RNA from 1 species
UUCCGUAGGUGAACCUGCGGAAGGAUCAUUACACACUGCGCAAUACCUGCUGUUUCGGCAGGUAUUAGCACAGCCUACCCUUGUCUAUUGCUACCAUUCGUGAAUCCCUCGGCAGGGACGCCUGCCGCCGGGACCCCUAAACUCUACUGUAUACAAGCAUCAAAACAUUCUGAAUCAAAAAACAAUUAUUACAACUUUCAACAAUGGAUCUCUUGGUUCUGGCAUCGAUGAAGAACG